GGAGCGCGGCCAGAGCGGACGCCGAGGCCGAGGAGGCGCCGAGAGCGAGUGAGAGCUGCUAGCCAGUUGUCACCUCUCACAGAGAGGUCCACAUUUGCUGAAAUGUAACUCUUAUCUCAUGCACUGGGAGUGAUGAACUUCACUAGGAAAUCAUCGUUCUUUCUGGAAUUAGACGAUAUAAGCUGCAGCUCAGAAUCAGAGGAUUUUGCUCUAUUGCCUAAGCUGGAGUGCAAUGACAUAUGAUUGCUUACUGCAGCCUCCAACUCCUGAGCUUAAGCAAUCCUACCACCUAACCCUCCUAAGUAGCUGGGACUACAGCAGGUCAAGUUGCUUCUUUUCAGUGAUCAUAAUCAAUUAUCCAGGAAAAGGGACAGAAGAAAUCAGGAAAAAGGAGAAUAGACUCUUUAUGCAUAGGAGCUUUAAUAUAUAGUUGACACUUGAACAACAUGGAUCUGAACUACACAAGUCCACUUAUUGGUGGAUUUUCUUCAGCCUCUGCCACCCUUGAGACAACAAGACCAAUACCUCCUCUUUUUCCUUCUCCUCAGCCUACUCAACUUGAAGAUGGUGAGAAUGAAGACCUUUAUGAUCAUCCACUUCUACUUGUUGAAUAGUAAAUAUAUUUUUUCCUUA
rnacentral:lncRNA from 1 species